rnacentral:rRNA from 1 species
UACGGAGGGUGCAAACGUUGUUCGGAAUUACUGGGCGUAAAGAGUGUGUAGGCGGUGCUCUAAGUUCGGUGUGAAAUCUCCCGGCUUAACUGGGAGGGUGCGCCGGAAACUGGAGUGCUCGAGCGUGGGAGAGGAAAGCGGAAUUCCUGGUGUAGCGGUGAAAUGCGUAGAUAUCAGGAGGAACACCAGUGGCGAAGGCGACUAUCUGGGCUGCAACUGACGCUGAGGCGCGAAGGCUAGGGUAGCAAACAGG